CUGGUUGAUCCUGCCGGCGCACCCGCUAUUGGAGUCCGCUUAAGAAUGCGAGUCGUUGGGGGCAAGCCCCUCGGCGACUCUCAGUACACGCGGUAAUCUGCCUAAAGCGGGGAUAUCUCGGGAAAUGAGGUAUGCCCAUAGCCCACGGAUGCUGGACGCACCGUGGAUGAAAGCUCGGGCGCCUUUAGGAUGAGUCUGCGGCCUAUCAGGUUGUAGUGGGGUGUAACGGGACCCCCUAGCCUUUCGACGGGUACGGGCUUUGAGAAGAAGUUGCCCGGGAGAUGGGGUCCUGAGACACGAAACCCAGGCCCUACGGGCGCAGAAGUACGAAAAACUUGGCAAUGCGGGAAACCGCGACCAGGGGGACUCCAAAGGCUAAUACUUUGAAUAAGCUGUCCUUCUGUUCUAAAAAACAGGAGGAGGUAAGGCCUGGUAAAGAGGGUGCCAGCCGCCGGGUA
rnacentral:rRNA from 1 species